rnacentral:misc_RNA from 1 species
AUGAAGAACGUAGCGAAAUGCGAUAAGUAAUGUGAAUUGCAGAAUUCAGUGAAUCAUCGAAUCUUUGAACGCACCUUGCACCCUUUGGCAUUCCGAAGGGUAUGCUCGUUUGAGUGUCAUUGUACUCUCACUCUCCCGAUGCUUUUGGAUCGGGAGUGGUGGACUUGGGUGUUGCUGCUUUGCUGUGGCUCGCCUCAAAUGGAGUAGUGCAACUCUUGGUUGGACAUAGUACGGCGUGAUAAGUGUCUUCGCCGGCGCCUCAUUAUAGAGGGUGGCCGAUCGGGAGCUCUGUGCUUCAAACCGUCUUCGGACAACAUCUGACAACUUGACCUCAAAUCGAGUAGGACUACCCGCUGAACUUAAGCAUAUCAAUAAGCGGAGGA